AGCUCCAAUAGCGUAUAUUAAAGUUGUUGCGGUUAAAAAGCUCGUAGUUGGAUUUCUGCCGGUGAGCGACGGUCUGCCCAAGCGGUACGUACUCGUCACGCCACCGGCAUCUUCCUGGGGAAUGUAUCUGCACUUAAUUGUGUGGUGCCCGAUCCAGGACUUUUACUUUGAGGAAAUUUACAGUGUUUCAAGCAGGCUCACGCUCUCUGAAUACGUUAGCAUGGAAUAAUAGCAUCGGACCUCGUUCCAAAGCUGUUGGUUUCUUGGUACGAGGUAAAGGUGAAUAGGGAUUGUUGGGGGCAUUCGUAUUUAACUGUCAGAGGUGAAAUUCUUGGAUUUGUUAAAG
rnacentral:rRNA from 1 species